AUACGGAGGGUGCGAGCGUUAAUCGGAAUUACUGGGCGUAAAGCGUGCGUAGGCGGAUUAUUAAGCAAGAUGCGAAAGCCCAGGGCUCAACCUUGGAACUGCAUUUUGAACUGGUAGUCUAGAGUACUGUAGAGGGUGGUGGAAUUUCCAGUGUAGCGGUGAAAUGCGUAGAGAUUGGAAGGAACAUCAGUGGCGAAGGCGGCCACCUGGACAGAUACUGACGCUGAGGCACGAAAGCGUGGGGAGCGAACAGGAUUAGAUACCCCAGUAGUCC
rnacentral:rRNA from 1 species